rnacentral:misc_RNA from 1 species
AAGGAUCAUUACCACAUCCAAAACUUUUUAUAAACCCACAAGUGUGAAGUUGUGAAAAGAGGGGAAACUCUCUUGUAACUAAACUUUUUUUAAAAAUUUGAACCCCUUUUGAACUUUUUUAUAAAGAAGAAUAAGCAAGACUAAAAAAAAAAAUGAGAAAAGAGAAAAACAACUUUUAACGGUGGAUCUCUUGGCUCGU